CCUACGGGUGGCUGCAGUGGGGAAUAUUGGACAAUGGGCGAAAGCCUGAUCCAGCCAUGCCGCGUGUGUGAAGAAGGCCUUCGGGUUGUAAAGCACUUUCAGUGGGGAAGAAAGCCUUGGGGCUAAUACCCUCGAGGAAGGACAUCACCCACAGAAGAAGCACCGGCUAACUCCGUGCCAGCAGCCGCGGUAAUACGGAGGGUGCGAGCGUUAAUCGGAAUUACUGGGCGUAAAGCGCGCGUAGGCGGUCUGAUAAGCCGGUUGUGAAAGCCCCGGGCUCAACCUGGGAACUGCAUCCGGAACUGUCAGGCUAGGGUGCAGGAGAGGAAGGUAAAAUCCCCGGUGUGGCGGUGAAAUGGGUAGAGAUCGGGAGGAAUACCAGUGGCGAAGGCGGCCUUCUGGACUGACACUGACGCUGGGGUGCGAAAGCGUGGGUAGCAAACAGGAUUAGAUACCCGAUAGUC
rnacentral:rRNA from 1 species